GACGAACGCUGGCGGCGUGCCUAAUACAUGCAAGUUGAGCGCUGAAGGUUGGUACUUGUACCAACUGGAUGAGCAGCGAACGGGUGAGUAACGCGUGGGGAAUCUGCCUUUGAGCGGGGGACAACAUUUGGAAACGAAUGCUAAUACCGCAUAAAAACUUUAAACACAAGUUUUAAGUUUGAAAGAUGCAAUUGCAUCACUCAAAGAUGAUCCCGCGUUGUAUUAGCUAGUUGGUGAGGUAAAGGCUCACCAAGGCGAUGAUACAUAGCCGACCUGAGAGGGUGAUCGGCCACAUUGGGACUGAGACACGGCCCAAACUCCUACGGGAGGCAGCAGGAGGGAAUCUUCGGCAAUGGACGGAAGUCUGACCGAGCAACGCCGCGUGAGGGAAGAAGGUUUUCGGAUCGUAAAACUCUGUUGGUAGAGAAGAACGCUGGUGAGAGUGGAAAGCUCAUCAAGUGACGGUAACUACCCAGAAAGGGACGGCUAACUACGUG
rnacentral:rRNA from 1 species